rnacentral:RNase_P_RNA from 1 species
CGAUGGCAGAUGAUCGCUGGUGAGUGCCGCGUUGGUGGGACUCGCUGGAGGAAAGUCCGAACACCAUACGGUAGCAUGCCGCGUAAAAUACGCGGGCAACAUUCGCCCCGCAGCCGCGGGACGGGUGUUGACGGAAAGUGUCACAGAAAAGAGACCGCCGGUUCUUUGAGAAAAGCACAGGCAAGGGUGAAAAUGGCGAGGUAAGAGCUCACCGCUCGCGGAGUAAUUCGCGAGGCACGAAAAACCCCAUGCGGUGCAAGACAAAACAGAGGAAGGGCAGCCGGCCCGAUAAAAUCCUCGGGUAUCGUCGCACCACGGUCCCGCGACUGCGGGACCGGGCAUUCGUCCCGCGCAUGCGGGACGGAUGAGAUGAAUGAUCAUCCCGGUUGAGAAUUCAGCCGGACAGAAUUCGGCUUAUCGCCAUCGAACC